CGACGACUUCAUAGAUUCAAGUAGCUGCACUGCUUCGGUAAAGAUAGCAUCAUGCUGCUGUGUCUUCGACUGU